rnacentral:rRNA from 1 species
GAUGAACGCUGGCGGCGUGCCUAAUACAUGCAAGUCGAGCGAACGGACGAGAAGCUUGCUUCUCUGAUGUUAGCGGCGGACGGGUGAGUAACACGUGGAUAACCUACCUAUAAGACUGGGAUAACUUCGGGAAACCGUAGCUAAUACCGGAUAAUAUUUUGAACCGCAUGGUUCAAAGGUGAAAGACGGUCUUGCUGUCACUUAUAGGUGGAUCCGCGCUGCAUUAGCUAGUUGGUAAGGUAACGGCUUACCAAGGCAACGAUGCAUAGCCGACCUGAGAGGGUGAUCGGCCACACUGGAACUGAGACACGGUCCAGACUCCUACGGGAGGCAGCAGUAGGGAAUCUUCCGCAAUGGGCGAAAGCCUGACGGAGCAACGCCGCGUGAGUGAUGAAGGUCUUCGGAUCGUAAAACUCUGUUAUUAGGGAAGAACAUAUGUGUAAGUAACUGUGCACAUCUUGACGGUACCUAAUCAGAAAGCCACGGCUAACUACGUG